UGACGAUUAUUACAUUUUAACCGCGCGUAUGAGUUUUCUCGAUGAAGUACAAAGGAGAAAAUUUGGUUGAAUUUCUUGAUAUCAGUCA
rfam:Lupinus angustifolius cultivar Tanjil chromosome LG03, whole genome shotgun sequence.